AGUCGAAGCGGCAGCACGGGUACUUGUACCUGGUGGCGAGCGGCGGACGGGUGAGUAAUGCCUAGGAAUCUGCCUGGUAGUGGGGGAUAACGCUCGGAAACGGACGCUAAUACCGCAUACGUCCUACGGGAGAAAGCAGGGGACCUUCGGGCCUUGCGCUAUCAGAUGAGCCUAGGUCGGAUUAGCUAGUUGGUGAGGUAAUGGCUCACCAAGGCGACGAUCCGUAACUGGUCUGAGAGGAUGAUCAGUCACACUGGAACUGAGACACGGUCCAGACUCCUACGGGAGGCAGCAGUGGGGAAUAUUGGACAAUGGGCGAAAGCCUGAUCCAGCCAUGCCGCGUGUGUGAAGAAGGUCUUCGGAUUGUAAAGCACUUUAAGUUGGGAGGAAGGGCAGUAACCUAAUACGUUAUUGUUUUGACGUUACCGACAGAAUAAGCACCGGCUAACUCUGUGCCAGCAGCCGCGGUAAU
rnacentral:rRNA from 1 species